AACGCACAUUGCGCCCCCUGGUAUUCCGGGGGGCAUGCCUGUCCGAGCGUCAUUACAACCCUCAAGCACGGCUUGUGUUAUGGGCCGUCGUCCCCUACUCGCUAGGUGGACGCGUCCGAAAUGCAGUGACGGUAGCCGCGACUCCGGUGCCCGAGUGAAUGGAGGAUAAUACCACCGCUCGUUUGGCCCGGCCGGCUCCGGUCGAAAUCAUUUAUUUCUUAGGUUGACCUCGGAUCAGGUAGGGAUACCCGCUGAACUUAA
rnacentral:misc_RNA from 1 species